UACGUAGGGCGCAAGCGUUGUUCGGAAUUAUUGGGCGUAAAGAGCUCGUAGGCGGUUUGUCGCGUCUGUCGUGAAAGCUUGGGGCUUAACCUCAAGUCUGCGGUGGAUACGGGCAGACUAGAGGCAGGUAGGGGAGAACGGAAUUCCCGGUGUAGCGGUGAAAUGCGCAGAUAUCGGGAGGAACACCGGUGGCGAAGGCGGUUCUCUGGGCCUGUACUGACGCUGAGGAGCGAAAGCGUGGGGAGCGAACAGG
rnacentral:rRNA from 1 species